rnacentral:rRNA from 1 species
GACAGAGGGGGCAAGCGUUGCUCGGAAUUACUGGGCGUAAAGGGCGCGUAGGCGGAAUGGCAAGUCGGUCGUGAAAUCCUUCGGCUCAACCGAAGAACGUCGAUCGAAACUGCCGUUCUUGAGGAUUGCAGAGGAGACUGGAAUUCCCGGUGUAGCGGUGAAAUGCGUAGAUAUCGAGAGGAACACCUGAGGUGAAGACGGGGUUGCUGGGCCGACACUGACGCUGAGUGCGCGAAAGCCAGGGGAGCAAACGGG